rnacentral:rRNA from 1 species
AGCGAACGCUGGCGGCAUGCCUAACACAUGCAGGUCGAACGAGACCUUCGGGUCUAGUGGCGCACGGGUGCGUAACGCGUGGGAACCUGCCCUUAGGUUCGGAAUAACUCCCCGAAAGGGGUGCUAAUACCGGAUAAUGUCUUCGGACCAAAGAUUUAUCGCCUUUGGAUGGGCCCGCGUUGGAUUAGCUAGUUGGUAGGGUAAAAGCCUACCAAGGCGACGAUCCAUAGCUGGUCUGAGAGGAUGAUCAGCCACACUGGGACUGAGACACGGCCCAGACUCCUACGGGAGGCAGCAGUGGGGAAUAUUGGACAAUGGGCGAAAGCCUGAUCCAGCAAGGCCGCGUGAGUGAUGAAGGCCUUAGGGUUGUAAAGCUCUUUUACCCGGGAUGAUAAGGACAGUACCGGGAGAAUAAGCUCCGGCUAACUCCGG